GCUCAUAUAAUAUAUUCAUUAUAUUUGACUUCCAAUCAAAAAAACUAGCCCGCUAGUUUGAGCA
rnacentral:tRNA from 1 species